rnacentral:rRNA from 1 species
CGCACGGGUGAGUAAUACAUCGGAACGUGUCUUCUAGUGGGGGGUAACGUGCCCGAAAGGGCAGCUAAUACCGCAUGAGACCUGAGGGUGAAAGCGGGGGAUCGCAAGACCUCGCGCUGGAAGAGCGGCCGAUGUCCGAUUAGCUAGUUGGUGAGGUAAAGGCUCACCAAGGCGACGAUCGGUAGCUGGUCUGAGAGGGUGACCGGCCACAUUGGGACUGAGACACGGCCCAA